GAGUAAUGAUUAAUAGGGAUUGUCGGGGGCAUUCGUAUUUCAUUGUUAGAGGUGAAAUUCUUGGAUUUAUGAAAUACGGACCACUGCGAAAGCAUUUUCCAAGGAUGUUUCCAUUAAUCAAAAACGAAAUUUGGGGGCUCGAAGAUAAUCAGUUACCAUCCUAGUCUCAACCAUAAACGAUGCCGACCAGGGAUCGACAGAUGUUGCUCUAAGGACUCCGCCAACACCUUCUGAGAAAUCAGAGUGUUUGGGUUCCGGGGGGAGUAUGUUCGCAAGGCUGAAACUUAAAGGAAUUGAUGGAAGGGCACCACCAGGAGUGGAGCCUGCGACUUAAUUUGACUCAACACGGGAAAACUUACCAGGUCCAGACAUAGUAAGGAUUGACAAAUUGAGAGCUCUUUCUUGAUUCUAUGGGUGGUGGUGCAUGGCCGUUCUUAGUUGGUGGAGCGAUUUGUCUGGUUAAUUUCGAUAAUGAAUGAGACCUUAGCCUGCUAACUAGCUACGCGGAGGUUCCCCUUCGUGGUCGGCUUCUUAGAGGGACUAUGGCCGUUUAGGCCAUGGAAGUUUGAGGCAAUAACAGGUCUGUGAUGCCCUUAGAUGUUCUAGGCCGCACACAUGCUACACUGAUGCAGUCAACGAGUUUUUCUCCCUGGUUCGAGAGGAUUGGGAAAUAUUCUCAAAUUGCAUCAUGAUGGGGAUAGACCAUUGCAAUUAUUGGUAUUCAACGAGGAAUUCCUAGUAAGCGCGUGUCAUCAGCUCGUGUUGACUACGUCCCUGCCCUUUGUACACAUCGGUCGUCACUCCUACCGAUUGAAUGAUUCGGUGAAGUGUUCGGAACGCGUCAACGAGGGUGGUUUGCCGCCGACGAUGUCAUGAGAAGUUCACUGAACCUUAUAAUUUAGAGGAAGGAGAAGUCGUAACAAGGUUAUCGUAGGUGAACCUGCGGUAGGAUCAUUG
rnacentral:ncRNA from 1 species